UGUAAGUUGGCUCCAGUUUCAAUUCGGUUGUAAAAUAUACAUGGCGCCCAAGUUGCAGCACUAUAUAUAUGUUCAAAUAUGCAUGGCACCCAAAUGUAUAGCUUUUCAACAGCACAGACUUUCUAAUACACACGUACAGAAUUUUCAAUAGCACAGACUGCACUUCCACACAAAUUGCACAUGUAUAAAAUGAGCUAAAUUUUUUAUUUAUAUAACAGUACAACCACAUCAAAAAAAGGAUAAUAUUUUUGCAAUCAUCCAUUUGAACAUAGUUCCGAUAACUCAUAGUGCUCAAAGUCAGUAGUUUAAAUUACAAAUUUAUCGAGGCAUACUUGUCUCGUCUCGUCCGCAUGCUACAUAACCAAAUUUAUUGAGGCAAUUGUUCAACCAUUGUGCGCUUAGACAUAAAGUAUUUCAGGAAUAUUAUUGAUUGCUUCAUGGACUCGGGUAAUCAUAGAAUCAUGUGAAAGGACAUCCUGAAAAGAAAAAAAAUUGAAAAACAUUAGCUAUGUAAGAACACUUUGUGCUCUAUGAAGGAUACCAGCCACACAUGUCAAGAACAACCAUGUAUGUCAAAAAGAUUAGCACAAAAUCCUGAAUUACCAAGGGGAGCCAGAUGGUACAAGGUAGCCAUAGCAUGUCACUAAAUUUAAAGAAACCAUAUUAUUUUUCAAAAAACACCGAUAUGAAGAAACAACAUGGCAGCAAUAUAAACAACAUCUUAAGUAAGAAAAGAUGUUCUAGACAGCAGCAGGUCUAUAUGAUUUUGAAUGCAAAAAUGAUAAACAAGCUAUGGUUACUAUAUGUGUCCCAUCUAUUGCCCCUAGGCAGUUCUGCAUUAAACAAGCUAUGGUUACUAUAUGUGUUAUACUAAGGGAGGAUAUAAAUUCCUAAAGUACAUAGCAAGGGAUGGCGUGUACCUCAAAGAAAGGCCAAAACUGGGGAUUUGUUGAUAUUUUCCAAUGAGUAUCUAGCGAACUAUGCUUGAUAAGGUCAAAUGCCAAUGAUCUCAUAGCGUUGAAGCAUCCAUUGAUAUGCCUAUGCACCGUUUCAGGACUGUGCUGAAACCUAUCAGUCAACGUACGAUAACUCGCAUUCCUGGAUAGCAUGUACAUAAACAUCCCUAGUUGCUCUUCAACACUGACUCCUUUUGAAUUUUUUAGAAGAUUUUUGGAUCUAAGAUGGUCACAUAGAAGUUGGAAGAUAUGGGAUUCCAUCCUAAGAAUAUCAAGGCACCGUUGAGGGUGGCCAUCCAAUAUUUCUCGGAUAUACUUAGCUCCCGUAAGAAUGGAUGUGUUCACUGGAAUCUUUUCCCUCCUAGAAGAUAUACAAUAUAUUGUCGGGAAGACAAGAAACAUCAUCUCCUCCUCCUCCUCCUCCUCAGAAUCAGUACAUGACUCAUAUCCAUCAUCAUGGUUACUCGUAUCCAUUAUCUAGCGAGAAGAGAUUACAAAAUAAAUACUCGCAACUCUCCUUCAAAGUAAACACAGUAGUAUAUAUAAUCUAUGUUAUGACAUUGGAAUAAAAGGAGCACUAGCACAUCAAGAUAACGAGAUUAGUGUAACAUGAAAAGAUAUUACCAUACUUUUAUUGAUUGAUGUAACAGUUGAGUAUAGAUGUAUAUAGACAAGCACAUGCGCAAAACAAUGAAGAAUAAAUCAGUGACACACACACAAGCUGGACUGAAUGCUUUUGAGUUUAUUAAGUACCUUCAGUUCUGAGCUUUAAAUGUCAAAAGAGCUUCACAGAAUCUUGAAUCCUCCAAAUCACUCUUAACAGUUCUG
rnacentral:lncRNA from 1 species